ensembl:lncRNA
CAGAGCGUCAGCCACUCACGAAGGGAGGUUAUUAAAAAGAGCAGAGAAACAUGCUUUCCCUCCCUCACUGCGUCAGCCAGGCUGUGAACCCCUGCUUCAAAAUGGUGCUCUGCGUGGUAUGGACACGAGAGGGCGCUGCAGACUCGGCUGGAGCGUUCAAGACCCAUGUCCCGCCUCUUUCUGUGCGGCCGCCAGCCUCUUGGCCACUCUAAGGCCACUAGACGUCGCCAUUCUGGACAGCCAUCGUGGACGGAGACCGGGGCAGUGCCGGCCUAGCAUCGCAGUGCUCAGCUCGCAGGUGACUUGCCUGCACAAGGGAUCAGAAUAGUUGGGCUCCACGCUCGAGGUUCACUCCUUUGAGUCAGGGCAGCGCACUUGUCCAAGAAGUCACCCGUCGCGUCCUUCGUGUAUGCACCCACUGGGGGCCAUCUUGAAUCCCAGCCGUCUUUUAUAAAUCCGAAGGGAUGCAGGGUGCCACCUGCAUCCCUUGAAGUCGAGCCCACUCUAUCCGUGGUCCCUGGCACCCAACACCACCACUGGGCGUCGCUUUGGAGAUGAGGAGGAGCACCGCGCCCCCCUUCGCCAAGUCCUCCCCCGACCCGGGCUAAUGACCGGGCGGGAGGCUGUAAUGAGCGUCUGGGUUGGGGACGGGCGGGGCGUGGCCCGGGAUGAAAGGCGCGUGUGUGGGGGGCACCCCGGGGCCACGUAAUUACCGCCCCCUUCUUAGCCGGGCGGGGGCCAGGGCCACUGCACCUGGCCUCUGCCCGGCGGGGGUGCACAAGUGUGACUGUGAUGGCAAAGCCUGGUGCCGCCCUCAGGGACCAGAGGCAGGGUGGAGGAUGCACCCUGUCUGUGUGUGUGUGUGUUGCCAGGUGUGGCACACAUGUGUGCAUGUGGGCAGGAGACCCGUGAGGAUUUGGAGAGACAUCUGACUCCCAUGGACAGGGGAAGUGGGUUUGUCCCAUGUGUGUGAAGAGGACGUGGCCAUAUUUGCACGGCUGACUUUCCUUCCCCUAAGGACAAGGUGGGUGGACAGGGUGCCGAAAUGCCGACAAAAGUGAGCACAACAGGGAUGUAGAUGCUCAGGGCAGGGCGAGGUGUGCGUGACUGGGGUGGGUGCUAAUGCAGCCAUCUAUGCCUGGUAGCAUGACUCAUGCUCCAGGGGUGGGCAUGAGAGCUGUGUCAGAGACACCCGGGCCUCCCAAUUAGAGAAGCUAAAACCCAGAGCCAGCUGUAAGAGUUAAGCUUGCCUUUUUUUUUUCUUUCUUUCUUUUUUUUUUUUUUUCUUGGGUGGGCUCUGAUCCCUCAGGUGUCUGAGGUCUGGCCUCCUGCCACCCAGAGGAACUGGACUCUGUGUCUGGAAAGGGUCUGCGGCCAGGGCUGGCUAGGCCCAAGUUCCUGUGACUCAUCCCUCCCCGCAACCCUGAGUCAUACUCCAGGAAUGGGAAUACGAAAGCUUGGGAGGCCGGGCCCCUGAGGCUCUUGCCCAGACCUGGGCCUUGAACAGCAAAGGGACGCCCCAGCCAGCACACACAUCCUAUGACAAGCCAUGCUAUACACGUGCACACCCACAUCCUCUAUUGCAGACCUGUCAGGCUCAGUCACAAACUCGACAUGCCUUUGUCAUCUGGCAAAUUGCCUGCACCCUGGAGAGACCCUGUGGGCUUCCCAUAGCUUCCUGCCUGUCUUCAAUAAACUACUGGGACUGGGAAGCAGUGCCCUUGCACUAAAGGGGUAUUUGCAGCAGGAACAUGCAGUGACACGCAAUCAUCCACAAGGUCUCUAUCAGAUGCCCAAAAAACACCAGUGGCCCUGCAGUGACGCCCAGGAAACCCCAGAAGCUGGGUGGCUCAUCUGUCUGGGAAAUGAUCUAUUUGGGUUUCUAAAACUGCAGGAGGGAUGGGAGGAGUUGUAGGGCAUCAACCCCCAGGGAUGCUCAGAUGCUGUUUAGCAAGGGCCUCUUCCGCCCCUAUCACUCCAGGGACUUCUGCCCAGUCCACUCACCUGACUGUGGCACAGCCUCCCAUGCAGGUUAACACACAAACAGCCUCCCCGGAAACAAACAGAGACGGGCAGAGCAACUUCUGCCUGGAGCUGGUGGCCUGCAGUGCUUCCUCCGAACUUAGCUGCACAGGGACAGUCACAGGUCAUGAAGCAUCUGUCAACCUGAGGGUGCCGAAAGGUCCCAGUGCAAGCAGCUGGUCCUUGAACCCUUGGAGGUGCAGAGGGUCAGCUGUAGUCCACGGGCCCAGCUGUCUGGGUAGGCAGCACCCAGGCACCUCUCUGGCCCCAUUGCUUCAUCUGAGAAGAAAUGACAGUGACUGGCAGGUCACAAGGCAGUAACGGGGGUCCCCUUGGUGGCUGUGGUGAAUUUGAGGAUGUUGCUUUUCUUUCUGGGUACCUCAAGUACUAGUUGCUGAGCAAAUAUCCCAACUAGAGGCUGCAGAGACAUCUCAGAGGUUAGCACUCCUGCUGCUGCUGCUCUUCCAAAUGACCUGGGUUUGAAUCUGGACACCUACAUGGUGACUCUCAAUCACCACGCAGUCCCAGGGGAUCCGACAGAAUUCUUAGCCCGGUUACAGCCAGAAGGCAUGAACAUGGCACACACACGUACACUCAGACAAAACACUCACGAAAAACACACACACGAUUAAAGCCAAUUUAAAACAAUAAAAACAAACAACAACUCUUUUUCUUUUUUCCUUUGGGGAGCACAGAACUUCAGGCAAGCUAUGCUAGCACCACAGAGCCACGAACCCAGCAUGUUUCUUACUUUUCAAGUGUGUGUGUGGGUGGUUCUCACUAAGUUGCCCAGGCUGGCCUUGAACUCAAAAUCUCCGACCUCACGCUCCCUUGGGAAGCCGCUAAGACAGUCUUAUAUCCCUGGGACUAGCAGGGUUCGGUAUGUUCAAGAACCAAAGUGUGGGGUCAGGGUCAGGUUCAUGAGAUGGGUGUUAUGCACUGGGAGGCUGGCGCGAAGUCCUCAGUAAAUGCUCCUGGCUGCUGCAGCUUCGUGGAGGCCUCCGGGUUGGUGGUGUUCCGCUUAUGUCUUGUGGGGCAUGACAGCUGUCUGCGGCUGCCUGCAGGGGUGAGGGGUGACCUCCUUCUUCGAUGGGGUCCGGUCCCGCCCACAUUCCAGCAGGGUUAGGGGCACCCUCUCCGGUUGGGUCUUCAAACAUUCCGAGGAGGGAGGACCUCUGACCCAGGGCAGAACCCAUCUCCUUUUCUGUCCCCUGGACACCCAAAAC